GCCGAAAGGCAGACUAAUACCGCAUAGUCUUCGAUGACGGCAUCAGAUUUGAGUAAAGAUUUAUCGGUAAUGGAUGGGGAUGCGUCUGAUUAGCUUGUUGGCGGGGUAACGGCCCACCAAGGCGACGAUCAGUAGGGGUUCUGAGAGGAAGGUCCCCCACAUUGGAACUGAGACACGGUCCAAACUCCUACGGGAGGCAGCAGGA
rnacentral:rRNA from 1 species